AACGAACGCUGGCGGCAGGCUUAACACAUGCAAGUCGAACGCCCCGCAAGGGGAGUGGCAGACGGGUGAGUACCGCGUGGGAACAUACCCUUUCCUGCGGAAUAGCUCCGGGAAACUGGAAUUAAUACCGCAUACGCCCUACGGGGGAAAGAUUUAUCGGGGAAGGAUUGGCCCGCGUUGGAUUAGCUAGUUGGUGGGGUAAAGGCCUACCAAGGCGACGAUCCAUAGCUGGUCUGAGAGGAUGAUCAGCCACAUUGGGACUGAGACACGGCCCAAACUCCUACGGGAGGCAGCAGUGGGGAAUAUUGGACAAUGGGCGCAAGCCUGAUCCAGCCAUGCCGCGUGAGUAAUGAAGGCCUUAGGGUUGUAAAGCUCUUUCACCGAUGAAGAUAAUGACGGUAGUCGGAGAAGAAGCCCCGGCUAACUUCGUG
rnacentral:rRNA from 1 species